GGAGUCAGACUGCACGAGAUAAGUUGGGCAGUCAAAAGGGAAAGAGCCCAGACCUGCAGCUAAGGUCCCAAAAUGUGUGUUAAGUGGAAAAGGAUGUGGGAUUUCAAAGACAACCAGGAUGUUGGCUUAGAAGCAGCCAUGCAUUCAAAGAGUGCGUAACAGCUCACUGGUCGAGUGGACAUGCGCCGACAAUACACGGGGCUAAGCUGGACACCGAAGCGGCGGGAUUUUACCUAAGUAGAAUCGGUAGGGGAGCUUCCCAUGGGCGGAGAAGCCGGAGGGCGACCGACGGUGGAGCGCAUGGGAGUGAGAAUGCUGGCAUGAGUAGCGAGAGACGAGAGAGUAACUCGUCCGCCGUGAACCCGAGGUUUCCUGGGCAAGGCUAAUCCUCCCAGGGUCAGUCGGGGGCUAAGGCGAGGCCGGGAGGCGUAGCCGACGCGCAGCAGGCAGACAUUCCUGCACCGCGCACGCGGCGCUACGACCGACGGGGCGACGGAUGGGGGUGGCUCGGCGGGGUUCUGGACGUCCCCGUGAUGGAGCGCGGCCCGCGGACCAGGGAAAUCCGGUCCGCGCGAGGGCGAGGCUCCGGACGAAGCACUUAAGCGAAGCGAGUGAGCCCGAGGUCCCUAGAAAAACCCCUAGGCAGGCGCGUGCGCGCCCGUACCGCAAACCGACACAGGUGGGUGGGUAGAACAUACCGAGGCGAUCGGGUCAACCAUGGUCAAGGAACUCGGCACAAUGGCCCCGUAACUUCGGGAGAAGGGGUGCCCGCGCGUACGUGAACCGGCUCGCCCGGGGAGCGGAGGCGGGCCGCAGUGGAGAGGCCCAAGCGACUGUUUACCAAAAACACAGGACUCUGCAGAAGCCGCAAGGCGACGUAUAGGGUCUGACGCCUGCCCGGUGCCGGAAGGUCACGCGGAGGAGUUAGCCGAUUCGGCGAAGCCCCGAAGCCAAGCCCCGGUAAACGGCGGCCGUAACUAUAACGGUCCUAAGGUAGCGAAAUUCCUUGUCGGGUAAGUUCCGACCUGCACGAAAGGCGCAACGACUUGGGCGCUGUCUCGACCAUGGACCCGGUGAAAUUGCACUGGUCGUGAAGAUGCGACUUACCCGCGGAAGGACGGAAAGACCCCGUGAACCUUCACUGCAGCUUGGCAUUGGCCGCUGGUCCCGCGUGUAGAGGAUAGGCAGGAGGCACAGAUCCGGAGGCGCCAGCCCCCGGGGAGCCGCCCUUGGAAUACUGCCCUCGCGCGACCGGCGUCCUAACCCGAGGCCGUCAACCGGCUCGGGGACCGUGCCAGGCGGGCAGUUUGACUGGGGCGGUCGCCUCCUAAAGGGUAACGGAGGCGCGCGAAGGUCCGCUCGGGACGGUCGGCAACCGUCCUUUUGAAUGCAAGAGUACAAGCGGGCUUGACUGCGAGGCCCACAAGCCGAGCAGGUGCGAAAGCAGGCUCUAGUGAUCCGGCGGCCCCGAGUGGGUGGGCCGUCGCUCAACGGAUAAAAGGUACUCCGGGGAUAACAGGCUGAUCUUGCCCAAGAGUCCACAUCGACGGCAAGGUUUGGCACCUCGAUGUCGGCUCAUCGCAUCCUGGGGCUGGAGCAGGUCCCAAGGGUACGGCUGUUCGCCGUUUAAAGCGGUACGCGAGCUGGGUUCAGAACGUCGUGAGACAGUUCGGUCCCUAUCCUCCGUGGGCGCAGGAGAAUCGAUGGAGGCUGCCCCCAGUACGAGAGGACCGGGGUGGACGCACCUCCGGUGAACCGGUUGUCGACCAACGGCACGGCCGGGUAGCCGCGUGCGGCGCGGAUAACCGCUGAAGGCAUCUAAGCGGGAAGCCGUUCCAGGGAUUAGUUCUCCUUCCGGUAAGGGCCCAGGUAGACUACCUGGUCGAUAGACGGCAGGUGCAAGGACGGCGACGUCCUCAGCCGAGCCGCACUAAUCGCCCGAGCUCUUCCGGAA
rnacentral:rRNA from 1 species